AGAGUUCGAUUAUGGCUCAGGAUGAACGCUAGCUACAGGCUUAACACAUGCAAGUCGAGGGGCAUCAGGAAGAAAGCUUGCUUUCUUUGCUGGCGACCGGCGCACGGGUGAGUAACACGUAUCCAACCUGCCCUUUACUCGGGGAUAGCCUUUCGAAAGAAAGAUUAAUACCCGAUAGCAUAAUGAUUCCGCAUGGUUUCAUUAUUAAAGGAUUCCGGUAAAGGAUGGGGAUGCGUUCCAUUAGCUAGCUGGUGAGGUAAUGGCCCACCAAGGCGACGAUCGGUAGCCGGACUGAGAGGUUGAACGGCCACAUUGGGACUGAGACACGGCCCAG
rnacentral:rRNA from 1 species